UACGGAGGAUCCAAGCGUUAUCCGGAUUUAUUGGGUUUAAAGGGUGCGUAGGUGGCCUGUUAAGUCAGGGGUGAAAGACGGUAGCUCAACUAUCGCAGUGCCCUUGAUACUGAUGGGCUUGAAUGAACUAGAGGUAGGCGGAAUGUGACAAGUAGCGGCGAAAUGCAUAGAUAUGUCACAGAACACCAAUUGCGAAGGCAGCUUACUAUGGUUUUAUUGACACUGAGGCACGAAAGCGUGGGGAUCAAACAGG
rnacentral:rRNA from 1 species